CAUGCGAAAGGUUAUAUAUGCCAGCGGUGAGCUUGUGUCUGUGGCAUCUUGUACUCUCAGCGGCCUUCUGAGGAUCUGAUUAGUUAUCCCUCUGGAGGUUUCCUAAGGGUCUUCCUCUACUUCUUGAAUGACUCAGGCUCUGCAGGGGUCUUAUAAGUUGCCCCACUUCGGAGUCGUCGAGGUCUUCUCGAGGGUCUAAUAAGUUAGCCCUCAUGAGUGGCAUUAUGUGCUUGCAGCGAUCUUGUGUCUACGGCAUCUAGCACUUCUCGUCUUCAUGCGAGAGGCAGUAUGUGCCAGCGGCGAGCUUGUGCCUGUGGCAUCUUGCACUCUCGAUGUCCAUCUAAGGGUUUGAUUAGUUAUCCCUUUGGAGAUUCUCUAAGGGUCUCCUUUCGCUUUUCGAACGACUCAGACUCUGCAGGGGUCUUGUAAGUUAGCCCUACCUCAGAGUCGUCGAGGUUUUCUCGAAGGUCAGAUAAGUU
rnacentral:lncRNA from 1 species